GGACGUGAAGGCGAUCUGGCUGCGACCUCUGUCACCACAUCGAUCGCCAGGGUUGAUCCAGCUCACGUGGCUAGCUAGGUGGGUGGUCGCCUUCCUCUCUCACUGCUCCACAUGCGUCCCUCUGGAAGCUGUGCGCUCAGUUGAGGAAGAUGACCCUCUCUCAUAGAGGAGGACCAGUCUUUGGUCAAGGGUAUAUGAGUAGCUGCACUCCCCUGCUAGAACCUCCUGACAAGCUCUCAAAAUGAAAAUGACAAAGGGAAAGUCACCAAAAAGCAUCUUUUUAAAAGUCAUGUAAGACUACUUUGCAGAUCUCUAUAU
ensembl:misc_RNA 7SK 7SK RNA